ensembl:lncRNA
UUUUUUUUUCUUUUUUUUUUUUUUUGGAGGCAGGAUCUCACUAUUUGCCCAGGCUGGUCUCAAACUCCUGGGCUCAAGUGAUCCUCCUGCAUUGGCCUCCCAAAGUGCUGGGAUUACAGGCAUGAGCCACUGUGCCGGACUCAGACUGUUUCUUAAACGAAAUCACCAGCAAUAAAUCACUACAACAUCUCCUAUUUUCCUAGCUCAUCCCAUGCUCUCCCAGUCCCACCCCUAGGUCUACAGCAGGGAGCAAGAGGCCCAGCUUGCUGUUCUCUCUACUCACCCACUUUUUUGUCCAAGGCUUCCUCUGGUCACAACUCUGGUACUUAAAAAAAACAGCCACGUGUGGUGGCAUGCACCCGUAGUCCCAGCUACUCAAGAGGCUAAGUGGAGAGGAUCAUUUGAGCCCAGGAGUUUGAGUUUAGCCUGGGCAGCAUAAAAGAGGGAAUAGGUAGAGCUGAGCUCAUCCCCACUCAGCCCUCCUCACCACCAGAAUAAAAGAUGUUCCUAAUGGUUGGUUGCAGUCAAAUCAAGGUGUAUUGGUGACUCCCAUUCCUUCUCUCUCCCUCCUCCUCUCCCCUCACCUCUUCCCUCCAGCUGUUUUCAGAGGCUGAGAGUAUUCUGAAUACACUAAAUAUAUCACUAAUUCACCUGCAUCUAGAGCCCUGCUUUCUGAGCUUUGGUCCUGAUCCCCAUGGCUGAGUUCGGUGCUCAUCCACAUACUCCCAUACCACCCAAUGCUCAUUCCCGAUGUGGAGCUUAACACUUCUGCAUCAUAACCACCGGCUUUCUCGUCAGUGUCCUUGAGGAGAGCAGCUGUCUGCCUGUUCUCUGUUGCAUCCCAGGGCCUACAUAUGGCACUUAUGGCUCUAGCUUCAUUUCUCACCAGUCCUGCUCCUGGCAUCUCUGAGCCAGCCACGAGGGCUUGCUGUCAGCUUCUCAGGUCUGCUGUUCCCUCUCAGGGCCUUUCCAGGUGCUUCCCUCCUGCCCAAAGUGCUCCUCCCCAGGUCCUCACCUGGCCAGCUCCUACUCCUUCUUCAGGUCUCUCAGCUUACCUGUCACUCCAGGAAGCCUUCCAUGAAGCCCCUGGGUCUAGGUAAGUGGCCCUCCUUUGGGGUCUUCCAGCACAGUCAUUGGCGCUAUAUUUUAAGCAUCUCUUUGUGCCUCCCACGUGCCUACAGAACCCAGGCAGGGCAGGGACUAUGCUUAUCUAAUUUGCUGUUGCAUCCCUAGUGCCUAGCCCAGAGCCUGGCUCAAAAUAGACCAGGGUUUAUGCCCUGGGGCCCGUGGAUUAGCUGCCAGGGGUUCAUGACGCUCCCAAAAUCACAUGAAAAUGUUUGUAUGCUUAUAGUGCAUUCUUUUUGGGAGAUAAUCUGUAUUUUUUAUAUCAUACUCUCAAAGGAUAUGUGACACCCCUGCCCCCUAAAAAAGGUUAAGAAUCAGUGUGUGUAAGCUUUCUGUAAAUACUCUUUUUUGACUGGAUGCAUCCAUCAUGACAAUAAUAGGUGAUACUCAAUAAACAUUAUUGAACGAAUGAAUAAGCCUCCUCUUCACAAUUAGAGUGUUUUAAAUUUUUUCAAUGGAUCGAGAAAAACCUCAGAAGAAACCUUUGCCAGAAAAAGUUAAAGUGCCCCUUGCUUCAGCCCUUGACUCUGUGGUCCUUAAUACGCGGCUCCUCAGUG